GUUGCUCUCCCUGGAGCUGGGCUGCAGGAAGUCUGGGCCCCCGGCUCGCACUCCCGGACCCCGCACCAACCUCCAGGGUCGCUCUCCAAUCUUAACCAGGUUUGCUCCCUGAGCGUACCCAGGUGCCACGGAUAUUGGCCGGCUUGCUGCGCUUGGAGCGUAGGGUAAUGUACACCACAUUGGGCUGCAGAGUGGACCCAUUGCCCUGGGACUCUGGAGGGGCCAGGGUACCAUCCAGGGGUAUCUCAGGGAAGGAUGGCUCGGCGGUGUCGCGGCUGCUCCAGAGCUUACGCACCCGCGGGACGCACAGGGAGCAGAUGAACCAGUUUAUGAGCUGCCCCGGCUUGUCUGGACAGGUCAUUUCUCUGCCGCAUCCACAUGUUGAACGGAGUUUAAAGUCUGCAGUUGGCUCCUGCUAAUGUGAUGCAUGGUUUCCUGACUUCAGCUGCCGCGUCCGCUUCGGGAUGUGUGUCACUUGCUGUGACUGUGUGGCAGCUUGCCCAUCUCCUGAGAGCCCUUGGGAAAGUGAAGGACAAUAUAUAAGGACUCCAAUCACUUAAAAGCUAAGUAUUAAGUUUUUCCUUGCCACUGCUGACCCAGGUUUGUUGCAUAGAUUGCAGACCUGGAGAUGGAUACCUUGUUCUUGGUUCAGUGCUGCACAGACUCCUCCACUGGGGGACCCUAUCCCUUGCUCCUCAUAGUCCUGAUUUCUAGGACCCAUAACCCUAUUAUAAUUAAAAUCCCAGCAUUAGCAUAGGUUCCUGGCUACAACCUUUGUCCUACUUAUUGUAUGGAAUUUGCUAAUACCUUUGCUAUCCAUUCCAACACCAGGCCUGGACAGCACCAAGCUGCCCUGCCUGCAGCUGAAAAACUUUUAACUUAAUAGUCUUUGAAGUUUUGUCAUAGAAGUGUUAAAUAGUACUCUAUACUGUAUCUGUCUUUUGAACUGUAUGUAAAAGAAGUUACAUUGAAUAUAUUUUAUAGAAAUAUGUGCACUUUUUAUCUGGCACUUUAUUGCUCACCCCUAAGGACAUCAUUCCUGUUGACCUAAACUAGUACAUCUAUUUGCAGUAGGAAAAGUGCUUUUGGAGAAAAUCACCUGUCUCCUCAGAACUGGUCUUACAAGUCUGUGAAGUAACACUAUGUGCCAGCCUAAUCACUCAUAUAUGACCUCAAGAGAACACCAAAUAAGCAUAUUUCCAGCAGGAAAUGACCAGUGCUUUGGUUAAGAAUGCACAUUAUACUGCAGUUCUUUGGGGAAUGAAGCCACCCUUGACUGAGGUAUUAUGCCAACUCUCACCCUGUGAAUCCACUGACUGGGGAACAUUGUUUAAGAAAAUCACAUGGCUGUGCCAACAAGCAAGGAGACACGGCACAGAAGACAGAGGCAGAAGCAGCUUUAUUGAAAAACAGAGCAUGAGUAGAACGACUUCAAAUCCCAUAUGGCACCACAGUGAGAAGUAACUUCCUCUGAGCUUCUUAGAGAAUCCAACAAUGUCCUGCUUCCUUGGGGAGCUGCAGCCAUGGGCACAUGGGAAUAGGGCUUCCACCAAGAGUCCCGUCAGUCACAGCAACAGGAGGUCUUCCUCAGACAACUUUGAUGAUAGUGGUUGUUAGCCAGAGCAAGCUAGAACCAGAAAGAAAAACUAUGAAGAUGCCACAGUGGGAGUCUGAGCACCUUGAGGCCUCCUGUUGGAAACUGGCAAACCUAACUGUGGGACACUUGGAUGCUGAGUUCUGGUAAACAUGCUGUCGGAGGCACGGUAAUUUAGUCAUUAACAUUUAAAAACGAUCUAAUUCUAUAUACAUACUCUGUUGAAGACUUCUUCCAACCACCUUGUAUUAUAAAUUUAAAAUAUGAAAU
rnacentral:lncRNA from 10 species